GUGAAUCAUCGAAUUUUUGAACGCAAAUUGCGCUUCCUGGUAUCCCGGGAAGUAUGCCUGUUCGAGGGUCAGUAUUAACAAAAAAUCGGUUUGGUUGCAAAUUGUGACGUUUCCGGAGUUUGGGUCAUCUUAAUAUCCUUUAGGUUUUAAGAGGCUUAAAAUUGACUUUUUUUGCGCAGUUUAGAUGUACAUAAAUUCUUUUUUUUAUUCGUCUGUCUUAAUGCUCAAAAUCCUAUUAGAUGCGACCAUAUCGUGUGGUUUCGUGUCUAUAAAUUUUUCAUGAUUUGACCUCGAAUCAGGU
rnacentral:misc_RNA from 1 species